rnacentral:lncRNA from 1 species
GUGUGUGUGUGUGUGUGUGUGUGUGUGUGUGUGUGUGUGUGUGUGUGUGUGUGUGUGUGUGUGUGUGUGUGUGUGUGUGUGUGUGUAUUCUCCAGAAGGCCCCUCAUGAUGACAUGUCUGCCCCACGACACUUUGUUUAGGUUCGUCUUGACCCUGGCAGAGAUUACAUGUUCCAACAGACAGAUAGUUUGGGCUCCUGCAAGACAGCCUUGCUUACAAUCUCAUGGUCGUGGGGCUGCAGGAGCAGG